UACGUAGGGGGCAAGCGUUAUCCGGAAUUAUUGGGCGUAAAGAGUGCGUAGGUGGUUUUGUAAGCGCAGGGUGAAAGGCUACGGCUUAACCGUAGUAAGCCUUGCGAACUGCGAGACUUGAGUGCAGGAGAGGAAAGCGGAAUUCCUAGUGUAGCGGUGGAAUGCGUAGAUAUUAGGAGGAACACCAGUGGCGAAGGCGGCUUUCUGGACUGUAACUGACACUGAGGCACGAAAGCGUGGGGAGCGAACAGG
rnacentral:rRNA from 1 species